GUUUUUGUAGUUGAAGGACAACAAUGGUUUUUCAUGCCA
rnacentral:tRNA from 1 species